GACGAACGCUGGCGGCGUGCUUAACACAUGCAAGUCGAACGGAAAGGCCCUGCUUUUGUGGGGUGCUCGAGUGGCGAACGGGUGAGUAACACGUGAGUAACCUGCCCUUGACUUUGGGAUAACUUCAGGAAACUGGGGCUAAUACCGGAUAGGAGCUCCUGCUGCAUGGUGGGGGUUGGAAAGUUUCGGCGGUUGGGGAUGGACUCGCGGCUUAUCAGCUUGUUGGUGGGGUAGUGGCUUACCAAGGCUUUGACGGGUAGCCGGCCUGAGAGGGUGACCGGCCACAUUGGGACUGAGAGACGGCCCAGACUCCUACGGGAGGCAGCAGUGGGAAAUAUUGCACAAUGGGCGGAAGCCUGAUGCAGCAGCGCCGCGUGCGGGAUGACGGCCUUCGGGUUGUAAACCGCUUUCGCCUGUGACGAAGCGUGAGUGACGGUAAUGGGUAAAGAAGCACCGGCUAACUACGUG
rnacentral:rRNA from 1 species